CCUACGGGAGGCAGCAGUGAGGAAUAUUGGUCAAUGGACGAGAGUCUGAACCAGCCAAGUAGCGUGAAGGAUGACUGCCCUAUGGGUUGUAAACUUCUUUUAUAUGGGAAUAAAAUGUUCCACGUGUGGGAUUUUGUAUGUACCAUAUGAAUAAGGAUCGGCUAACUCCGUGCCAGCAGCCGCUGUAAUACGGAGGAUCCGAGCGUUAUCCGGAUUUAUUGGGUUUAACGGGAGCGUAGGUGGAUUGUUAAGUCAUUUGUGAAAGUUUGCGGAUCAACCGUAAAAUUGCAGUUGAAACUGGCAGUCUUGAGUACAGUAGAGGUGGGCGGAAUGCGUGGUGUAGCGGUGAAAUGCUUAGAUAUCACGAAGAACUCCGAUUGCGAAGGCAGUUCACUGGACUGCAACUGACACUGAGGCUCGAAAGUGUGGGUAUCAAACAGGAUUAGAUACCCUAGUAGUC
rnacentral:rRNA from 1 species